rnacentral:rRNA from 1 species
UACGGAGGGUGCAAGCGUUAUCCGGAUUCACUGGGUUUAAAGGGUGCGUAGGCGGGCAGGUAAGUCAGUGGUGAAAUCCCCGAGCUUAACUUGGGAACUGCCAUUGAUACUAUCAGUCUUGAAUACCGUGGAGGUCAGCGGAAUAUGUCAUGUAGCGGUGAAAUGCUUAGAUAUGACAUAGAACACCAAUUGCGAAGGCAGCUGGCUACACGAAUAUUGACACUGAGGCACGAAAGCGUGGGGAUCAAACAGG